rfam:Ictidomys tridecemlineatus contig096969, whole genome shotgun sequence.
UGUAGCUCAGUGGUAGAGCACUUGCCUAGCAUGUGUGAGGCACUGGGUUCAACUCUCAGCA